rnacentral:rRNA from 1 species
GACGAACGCUGGCGGCGUGCUUAACACAUGCAAGUCGAACGCUGAAGCUCAGCUUUUGUUGGGUGGAUGAGUGGCGAACGGGUGAGUAACACGUGAGUAACCUGCCUCCUUCUUUGGGAUAACGCCCGGAAACGGGUGCUAAUACUGGAUAUUCACUGGUCUUCGCAUGGGGGUUGGUGGAAAGGGUUUUUCUGGUGGGGGAUGGGCUCGCGGCCUAUCAGCUUGUUGGUGGGGUGAUGGCCUACCAAGGCUUUGACGGGUAGCCGGCCUGAGAGGGUGACCGGUCACAUUGGGACGGAGAUACGGCCCAGACUCCGACGGGAGGCAGCAGUGGGGAAUAAUGCACAAUGGGCGCAAGCCUGAUGCAGCGACGCCGCGUGAGGGAUGGAGGCCUUCGGGUUGUGAACCUCUUUCGCUCAUGGUCAAGCCGCAACAAUGGUUGUGGUGAGGGUAGUGGGUAAAGAAGCGCCGGCUAACUACGUG